UACAGAGGGUGCGAGCGUUAAUCGGAAUUACUGGGCGUAAAGCGCACGUAGGUGGCGACGUAAGUCGGGUGUGAAAGCCCCGGGCUCAACCUGGGAAUUGCAUUCGAGACUGAAUAGCUAGGGUACGGUAGAGGGAAGUGGAAUUUCCGGUGUAGCGGUGAAAUGCGCAGAUAUCAGGAGGAAUACCAAUGGCGAAGGCAGCUCGCUGGGACGUGACUGACGCUGAGACGCGAAAGCGUGGGGAGCAAACAGG
rnacentral:rRNA from 1 species